rnacentral:miRNA from 1 species
UAGAGUGACCGCCUGUCCUGGUUUGCCUGGCACUGAGGACAUUCCCAGGACGGGGGACUUUCAGUGCUGAAGCCAGGAAAGUC